GACGAACGCUGGCGGCGUGCUUAACACAUGCAAGUCGAACGGAAAGGCCCUGCUUUUGUGGGGUGCUCGAGUGGCGAACGGGUGAGUAACACGUGAGUAACCUGCCCUUGACUUUGGGAUAACUUCAGGAAACUGGGGCUAAUACCGGAUAGGAUCUCCUGCUGCAUGGUGGGGGUUGGAAAGUUUCGGCGGUUGGGGAUGGACUCGCGGCUUAUCAGCUUGUUGGUGGGGUAGUGGCUUACCAAGUCUUUGACGGGUAGCCGGCCUGAGAGCGUGACCGGCCACAAUGGGACUGAGAUACGGCCCAGACGCCUACGGGAGGCAGCAGUGGGGAAUAUUGCACAAUGGGCGGAAGCCUGAUGCAGCAACGCCGCGUGCGGGAUGACGGCCUUCGGGUUGUAAACCGCUUUCGCCUGUGACGAAGCGUGAGUGACGGUAAUGGGUAAAGAAGCACCGGCUAACUACGUG
rnacentral:rRNA from 1 species